rnacentral:pre_miRNA from 1 species
UCGCUCACAAAGUGACUGUGAUAUGCUGAUACCUGCGUUCAUAUCACAGCCAGCUUUGAUGAGCGUUG